rnacentral:rRNA from 1 species
UACGAAGGGGGCUAGCGUUGCUCGGAAUUACUGGGCGUAAAGCGCACGUAGGCGGCUUUCUAAGUCGGGGGUGAAAUCCUGGAGCUCAACUCCAGAACUGCCUUCGAUACUGGAGAGCUCGAGUCCGGGAGAGGUGAGUGGAACUGCGAGUGUAGAGGUGAGAUUCGUAGAUAUUCGCAAGAACACCAGUGGCGAAGGCGGCUCACUGGCCCGGUACUGACGCUGAGGUGCGAAAGCGUGGGGAGCAAACAGGG